UUUCCUGAUAGCUUAAAGGCAGAGCGUAUGGCUGUUAACCAUUAGGUUGUAGGUUCGAGUCCUACUCAGGAAGU
rnacentral:tRNA from 1 species